rnacentral:rRNA from 1 species
GUUGCGGUUAAAAAGCUCGUAGUUGGAUUUCUGUUGAGGACGGCCGGUCCGCACUAUGUGCGUGUAUCUGGUUCGGCCUCGGCAUCCUCUCGAAAGCCGUUUCUGCGCCUGAUUGCGUGGUUCGGACUUCGGGACUUUUACUUUGAGGAAAUUAGAGUGUUCACGGCAGGCAAGCGCCUUGAAUAUAUUAGCAUGGAAUAAUAAUAUAGGAUCUUGGUCCUAUUUUGUUGGUUUCUAGGGCUAAGAUAAUGAUUAAUAGGGACAAUUGGGGGCAUUCGUAUUAACGCGUCAGAGGUGGAAUUCUUGGAUUGCGUUACGACGAACUACUGCGAAAGCAUUUGCCAAGGAUGUUUUCAUUGAUCAAGAACGAAAGUGCGGGGAUCGAAGACGAUUAGAUACCGUCGUAGUCUGCACCAUAAACUAUGCCAACUAGAGAUUGGUGGUCGUUCUUUUUAUGACUCCAUCAGCACCUUAUGAGAAAUCAAAGUCUUUGGGUUCCGGGGGGAGUAAGGUCGCAAAGCUGAAACUUAAAGGAAUUGACGGAGGGGCACCACCAGGAGUGGAGCCUGCGGCUUAAUUUGACUCACCACGGGAAAACUUACCAGGUCCAGACAUAGUAAAGA